GUGGCGAACGGGUGAGUAACACGUGGGCAAUCUGCCCUUCACUCUGGGACAAGCCCUGGAAACGGGGUCUAAUACCGGAUAACACUCUGUCCUGCAUGGGACGGGGUUAAAAGCUCCGGCGGUGAAGGAUGAGCCCGCGGCCUAUCAGCUUGUUGGUGGGGUAAUGGCCUACCAAGGCGACGACGGGUAGCCGGCCUGAGAGGGCGACCGGCCACACUGGGACUGAGACACGGCCCAGACUCCUACGGGAGGCAGCAGUGGGGAAUAUUGCACAAUGGGCGAAAGCCUGAUGCAGCGACGCCGCGUGAGGGAUGACGGCCUUCGGGUUGUAAACCUCUUUCAGCAGGGAAGAAGCGAAAGUGACGGUACCUGCAGAAGAAGCGCCGGCUAACUACGUGCCAGCAGCCGCGGUAAUACGUAGGGCGCAAGCGUUGUCCGGAAUUAUUGGGCGUAAAGAGCUCGUAGGCGGCUUGUCACGUCGGAUGUGAAAGCCCGGGGCUUAACCCCGGGUCUGCAUUCGAUACGGGCUAGCUAGAGUGUGGUAGGGGAGAUCGGAAUUCCUGGUGUAGCGGUGAAAUGCGCAGAUAUCAGGAGGAACACCGGUGGCGAAGGCGGAUCUCUGGGCCAUUACUGACGCUGAGGAGCGAAAGCGUGGGGAGCGAACAGGAUUAGAUACCCUGGUAGUCCACGCCGUAAACGUUGGGAACUAGGUGUUGGCGACAUUCCACGUCGUCGGUGCCGCAGCUAACGCA
rnacentral:rRNA from 1 species